rnacentral:rRNA from 1 species
UGGGGAAUUUUGGACAAUGGGCGCAAGCCUGAUCCAGCCAUGCCGCGUGAGUGAAGAAGGCCUUCGGGUUGUAAAGCUCUUUCAGACGGAAAGAAAUCUCUCAGGAUACUACCUUGGGAGGAUGACGGUACCGUAAGAAGAAGCACCGUCUAACUACGUGCCAGCAGCCGCGUUAAUACGUAGGGUGCAAGCGUCAAUCGGAAUUACUGGGCGUAAAGCGUGCGCAGGCGGUUAUGCAAGACAGAGGUGAAAUCCCCGGGCUCAACCUGGGAACUGCCUUUGUGACUGCAUAGCUAGAGUACGGUAGAGGGAGGGGGAAUUCCGCGUGUAGCAGUGAAAUGCGUAGAUAUGCGGAGGAACACCGAUGGCGAAGGCAGCCUCCUGGGCCAGUACUGACGCUCAUGCACGAAAGCGUGGGGAGCAAACA